ACGAACGCUGGCGGCACGCUUAACACAUGCAAGUCGAACGAGAGAAGAGAAGCUUGCUUUUCUGAUCUAGUGGCGGACGGGUGAGUAACACGUGAGCAAUCUGCCUUUCAGAGGGGGAUACCGAUUGGAAACGAUCGUUAAUACCGCAUAAUAUAAUUGAACCGCAUGAUUUGAUUAUCAAAGAUUUAUCGCUGAAAGAUGAGCUCGCGUCUGAUUAGCUAGUUGGUAAGGUAACGGCUUACCAAGGCGACGAUCAGUAGCCGGACUGAGAGGUUGAUCGGCCACAUUGGGACUGAGACACGGCCCAGACUCCUACGGGAGGCAGCAGUGGGGAAUAUUGCACAAUGGAGGAAACUCUGAUGCAGCGAUGCCGCGUGAGGGAAGAAGGUUUUAGGAUUGUAAACCUCUGUCUUCAGGGACGAAAAAAGACGGUACCUGAGGAGGAAGCUCCGGCUAACUACGUGCCAGCAGCCGCGGUAAUACGUAGGGAGCGAGCGUUGUCCGGAAUUACUGGGUGUAAAGGGAGCGUAGGCGGGAUCGCAAGUCAGAUGUGAAAACUAUGGGCUUAACCCAUAAACUGCAUUUGAAACUGUGGUUCUUGAGUGAAGUAGAGGUAAGCGGAAUUCCUAGUGUAGCGGUGAAAUGCGUAGAUAUUAGGAGGAACAUCAGUGGCGAAGGCGGCUUACUGGGCUUUAACUGACGCUGAGGCUCGAAAGCGUGGGGAGCAAACAGGAUUAGAUACCCUGGUAGUCCACGCCGUAAACGAUGAUUACUAGGUGUGGGGGGACUGACCCCUUCCGUGCCGCAGCAAACGCAAUAAGUAAUCCACCUGGGGAGUACGACCGCAAGGUUGAAACUCAAAGGAAUUGACGGGGGCCCGCACAAGCAGUGGAGUAUGUGGAUUAAUUCGAAGCAACGCGAAGAACCUUACCAGGUCUUGACAUCGUAUGCAUAGCUCAGAGAUGAGUGAAAUCUCUUCGGAGACAUAUAGACAGGUGGUGCAUGGUUGUCGUCAGCUCGUGUCGUGAGGUGUUGGGUUAAGUCCCGCAACGAGCGCAACCCUUACUGUUAGUUGCUACGCAAGAGCACUCUAGCAGGACUGCCGUUGACAAAACGGAGGAAGGUGGGGAUGACGUCAAAUCAUCAUGCCCCUUAUGACCUGGGCCUCACACGUACUACAAUGGCUGUAAACAGAGGGAUGCAAAGCCGCGAGGUGGAGCGAACCCCUAAAAGCAGUCUUAGUUCGGAUUGUAGGCUGCAACCCGCCUACAUGAAGUCGGAAUUGCUAGUAAUCGCAGAUCAGCAUGCUGCGGUGAAUACGUUCCCGGGCCUUGUACACACCGCCCGUCACGCCAUGGGAGUCGGUAACACCCGAAGCCUGUAGUCUAACCGCAAGGAGGACGCAGUCGAAGGUGGGAUUGAUGACUGGGGUG
rnacentral:rRNA from 1 species